CAUAUGCUUGUCUCAAAGAUUAAGCCAUGCAUGUCUGAGUACAGACCGAUCUAAGGUGAAACCGCGAAUGGCUCAUUAAAUCAGUCAUAAUUUCUUGGAUAGUGAAAAACUUUCCUCGGAUAACUGUGGAAAAUCCAGAGCUAAUACGUGCAACUGAGCUCCGACCUAGGCUGUCGCCUUGGGAAGAGCGCAUUUAUUAGAUUCAAAACUGACCGUCGUACUCCUCCGGGAUGCGUCGUCUGUCAUAUUGAUGACUCCGGAUAACUAAGCCGAGCGCUACGGUCUUUGUACCGGCGCCGUAUCUUUCAAGUGUCUGCCUUAUCAGCUUUCGAUUGUAGGUUAAACGCCUACAAUGGCUGUAACGGGUAACGGGGAAUCAGGGUUCGAUUCCGGAGAGGGAGCCUGAGAAACGGCUACCACAUCUAAGGAAGGCAGCAGGCACGCAAAUUACCCACUCCCAGCCCGGGGAGGUAGUGACGAAAAAUAACGAUGCGAGACUCUUCCGAGGCCUCGCAAUCGGAAUGAGUCCAUUCUAAAUCCUUGGACGAGGAUCCAUUGGAGGGCAAGUCUGGUGCCAGCAGCCGCGGUAAUUCCAGCUCCAAUAGCGUAUAUUAAAGUUGCUGCGGUUAAAAAGCUCGUAGUUGGAUCUCCUAGAUCCAAUUCGUGGGCGGGUCGCCGUUGUUCACGCGUCUUCGCGGUCCCUGGUGAGGAGCUUUCCUUGGUACGGCAUGUGUCGUUACGUUAUUCGUUACGCCUUCCGCGAGGAUGGUAUUCGGUUUCGUAUUCGCGCGUGCGCAGUGUCGGGUUUGCGCUUAGCCUGUGGACGGUUGACGUAGGCUUCGGGAACUGCCCGUCCGCGCUUGGUACAAUUAAAAUUUUGUCGGCUCGCUCGGAGUGCUCUUCACCGAGUGUUCCAGGGUGGCCGACACGUUCACUUUGAAAAAAUUAGAGUGCUUAAAGCGGGCUAUAGAGUUGCCUGAAUGUUGAUGCAUGGAAUGAAGGAACAGGACCUCGGUUCUGUUCUUUUUGUCGGUUUUAUUGAACCGAGGUAAUGAUUAAAAGGAACGGACGGUGGCAUUAGUAUUGUGACGCUAGAGGUGAGAUUCUUGGAACGUCGCACGACUAACUACUGCGAAAGCAUUUGCCGAGCACGUUUCAUUAAUCAAGAACGAAAGUUAGAGGAUCGAAGGCGAUCAGAUACCGCCUAGUUCUAACCCUAAACUAUGCUAACUAGCGAUCCGCCGGAGUCAUUCCCACGACCCGGCGGAAGCCCAGGGAAACCAAAGUCUUUGAGUUCCGGGGGAAGUAUGGUUGCAAAUCUGAAACUUAAAGGAAUUGACGGAAGGGCACCACCAGGAGUGGAGCCUGCGGCUUAAUUUGACUCAACACGGGAAACCUCACCAGGCCCGGACAUCAAAAGGAUUGACAGAUUGAGAGCUCUUUCUCGAUUGGAUGGGUGGUGGUGCAUGGCCGUUCUUAGUUGGUGGAGUGAUCUGUCUGGUUGAUUCCGAUAACGAACGAGACUCUACCCUACUAACUAGUCGGCGGAUCGUAACCCUGUGCUGGGGGGAUCCGAAGUUCAUUUUGCGGCCGUUCGUGCCUAGCGCUGACGCGUAGUGUUCCAACUCAAGUCCUUAUACGGGCGAUGGAAGGGCAUUGCGUCGAGGUUGCGGGUGUGUGGCGGUUUAGCUGGUGUGACUGAGGUGACUCUUACUGGGGGCGUCCGUCGCAAUGUAUCUUCUUAGAGGGAUCAGCGGCGUCUAGCCGCACGAGAAAGAGCAAUAACAGGUCUGUGAUGCCCUUAGAUGUUCUGGGCCGCACGCGCGCUACAAUGUUCGGUUCAGCGUGCCACCCCGCUCCGAAAGGAGUGGGUAACCCGUUGAAACCCGUACUCAAUUGGGAUUGGGGAUUGCAAAUUUUUCCCAUAAACGAGGAAUUCCCAGUAAUCGUGAAUCAUUAAUUCGCGCUGAUUACGUCCCUGCCCUUUGUACACACCGCCCGUCGCUACUACCGAUUGAAUGAUUCAGUGAGGUCAUCGGAUUGGCUCCUGCGGUUGCAAUAUACCCUAGGUUGACGAAAAGACGUCCGAACUCGAUCAUUUAGAGGAAGUAAAAGUCGUAACAAGGUUUCCGUAG
rnacentral:rRNA from 1 species